CGGACAACGGAAAGGCAGCUCUAUCUGAAGGUGAAACUGCUCUAGCUAACAGGGAAAGCUCUUUAAAAGACCAUCAAAGAGAUACCCCGCACAAUGCCUGCUUUCCGGAGGAGCCUCGCGCCCACAAGGCCAUCCCCCAAAUCCAAAAUAUGCUGGCAUGCUAAUCGCAUGAGACAACUUGGCCCACGGACAGCCACAAAGCACAAAAACAAAACACAACACAAACUCAGAGAAGAAACAAGAAUCGUGUUUUCCUGGCGUCUAUGAGAAGCGCUUUAUUAGAAGCACUUUAUUUUUCCUCUAGAUGUCUUUUCUAAAAACA
rnacentral:lncRNA from 1 species